rnacentral:rRNA from 1 species
GAUGAACGCUGGCGGCGUGCCUAAUACAUGCAAGUCGAACGAAGUCUUCGGACUUAGUGGCGAACGGGUGAGUAACACGUUGGUACCUACCCCGAAGUGGGGAAUAACUGCCCGAAAGGGUGGCUAAUACCGCAUAAUACCGCAAGGUUAAAGCAGUAAUGCGCUUCGGGAGGGGCAGGCGUCCCAUUAGCUAGUUGGUAGGGUAAUGGCCUACCAAGGCGACGAUGGGUAGCUGGAUCGAGAGGUUGACCAGCCACACUGGGACUGAGAUACGGCCCAGACUCCUACGGGAUGCAGCAGUAAGGAAUCUUCCACAAUGGACGAAAGUCUGAUGGAGCAACGCCGCGUGCAGGAUGACGGCCUUCGGGUUGUAAACUGCUUUUAUACGGGAAGAUUAUGACGGUACCGUAUGAAUAAGGACCGGCUAACUACGUGCCAGCCGCCGCAGUAA